rnacentral:rRNA from 1 species
UACGAAGGGGGCUAGCGUUGUUCGGAAUUACUGGGCGGAAAGGGCGCGUAGGCGGUGUGUCAAGUCAGGCGUGAAAGCCCCGGGCUCAACCUGGGAACCGCGCUUGAGACUGGCACGCUCGAGUUCGGGAGAGGAUGGUGGAAUUCCCAGUGUAGAGGUGAAAUUCGUAGAUAUUGGGAAGAACACCGAUGGCGAAGGCAGCCAUCUGGACCGACACUGACGCUGAGGCGCGAAAGCGUGGGGAGCAAACAGG